UGAAAGUCUUUUCACAUGUUUUCAACUAUUUUCCAACAUAUACACAUAACAUGGACUUUAACAUAAGUAACUUUAUUAUGUAAGAUGACAUUUCCAUGUCUUUGUCGUAGUUUCUCCUUCCUUUCCUUCCAGGAAAGAGAGGGUGAGCCGAUAGGGUUGCAAUUAGUAGCUGCACCGCUAGAUGCCACUAAAUCCUGCACACUGUUCCUUUAACGGUGCAUCAUAUUUUAUAAGAUCAACUCAAUUUUCUUUGUAAAAUCUAGUAAGUAAACAGUAAGUGCAGCUGUGAAAUAAGUCCCAGCCUCUUUUUCAGGCCCCUGCUCGAAAAUUAGAGUAUAUCUCUGCAACUACAAGGUCUAUUUGAAUACUUUCGGUGUCAUAAUAAAGGGAACACUUAUAACAUUUGCUCAGUAAGUAUCAGUAUGUAUGUCACUAGCUCAGAAUACCAUUCAGAGCAUGCAGCAUAAAUUAAAGUUUUAAUACAGGCUAUUUAGUAGACUAUUUCCCCCCUUAUUAGGAGAUCCCGGGGAUUAAAAGGUUAAAGUAAAAAGAACAAUCUUUAUAUUGGAACACAGAGGAGCAGAAGUAUAAAGUAUAAAAUAAAAAUACUCAAGUAAAGUACAAAUACCCAAAAGCUGUACUUACAGUACUCGAGUAAAUGUACUUACUUUCCACCACUGUCUCUCCAGCAAACGACUGACUGACGUGCUUUUCCUUCCUGUUGUUGUUUCCCGUGUUGUUUACACUGUCAUUGAUAGUGUGGUUCGCUGUGCUAUCUUGGGCUGAGCUCCAGAGUGGCUCAGAUGACAUCAUCACACACAUCAUGCAUCAUCCCUUGCCAGCUCUGCGGGAGAGAGGCAACCUCAGUCCGUAGGGAUUUGACUCAGGAACCGGAGGGUAGCCGGAGGGUUCACGUCCAGCUUAGACCAAAGUAUGGAGGUGGCCCUGAGCAAGGUCUAAAUGUGGAAUUUGAACUUCCAAUCGAUGAUGCCCACCACGGAGGCCAUGUUGUUUGUGGGCAGUGUUGUCGGGUUGUUAUGGGUUCCUGCUCCACCAUUGAACUAUACAGCGCGUCUGCAUGAUAAGAUGAGUUGAUGGUUCAACUGAGGGACUCAGAUGCUGAAGUAAAGGCACUAAAACAGAGAGGUGAUGUGGGAGAGACAGUGACGGGUCUGUGGAUGACCAGGAGGCUGACGCACCCCCCUCCCUUGCCCCCUCGAGGCUCCUGUCGAUUCAUCCUUCCGGCAGGAAGUGUGUGUGGAUCAAUACGAAGCGAGGGUCUCUGGAGAGAGACGCAGAGAGAGAGAGAGAAAGAGAGAGAGAGACCACGAGCAGCCCAGGUCUCUUUUUGUUUCAUUAGACAGCUCCACGCUCACAUCUGGGUUUGAAUUGUUGUCAUCAUAUCAGUCAUCUCUGGAAAUAAAAGCAUUUUACUGUCUGUAUUAUCUCUCAUGCGUUCAACUCAGUAACUUGA